GGCGUCCGCGGCCGUGAUUUGCGAGCUGUGGUGCGCCCGGCUGCGCUGUGGCGGGCGGGGAGCGCGUGAGGCGCUGCGGACGGCGGGCUAUGCGCGCUUCGUGCUCAGGGGUGCCACCGGGUGCCACUGGCUGAGGGGUUUGGCACGAAGUGCCGGUGCCUCGAUUCUCAGACUCGCUUACCGCAGGCUGCGUUUCUGUCUCGCACGUAACUGAGGGCAGUUACCAGUUUUUCGUUUUGCUUUUUGUUCCUGCGGUGAACAUCAGAGGAUCAGGUUUAUAUUGAUUUAAAGUCACCUCUAGGUGUACACUUUCCAACUCAAUGUACUGUAACUGUUUCUGUUAACAACGGUAUCACUGCGAUCCUGGGCAAAUAAAAGGCAAGAACAAGUUAUUGGUGAACAUAUGGAUGUAAGGACACAAACACACUCCUGUGCGGCUGCCAGCCACCGCUGGCUGGGACUCCUCCAUGCAGCGAGUUUCAGACCUGGGCCUCUGGCACCUUCACCGUGCUCACCCAGAUCACAGAGAUCACAUGUUACAAACCCG
rnacentral:lncRNA from 1 species